AGAAUCUGGCUGGUGACAUUAUUGGAACAAGGACUGAAGUUGCUGAUGUGAAAUCCACACCUUUCCAGCCUUACAGUGAGGUGUUUGGACUAGAGAGGUUCAGAGAAUGUGAACUGAUCCAUGGAAGAUGGGCUAUGUUGGCUACUCUUGGUGCACUCACUGUUGAAUGGCUCACUGGUAUUACCUGGCAAGAUGCUGGAAAGGUACUACACACUUACCUCUCAGUUCAAUUUAUAUGAAAAUUCAAUUUAUAUGAUACUUUUCAGUAUAAAGUAUUUUCUAUGUCUUGAUUUAUGUGAUAUUUGUUGAGAAUAAUGUGAAGCAGUAAAUAGAAUUAGUUAGGAGUUGUAACAGAAUUAGUUAGGAGUUGUAAGUUCAUGAGUAAGUGGAGCGUACCUAACUUAUGUAUAUAUAGUUGAGUAGGCAUUACCUGUAACUAACUCAAAUAUUUUUUGUUCAAUAUCAAUUUUCUCUCUUUCUGUGAGUUCUCUCUCUUCCUCAAUGUACUGUUCCAUUGAACUUGAUCUCCAUUACUACGAUUUCAUCAUGAUAUUAGAGUUAGGCCCACCAGUUCAUUGUUUCGAUGUUGGCCCCCUUUCUUAUAUUGUUCACGCUCCAUGUCCAGUCCUGGGCGUGCGGGGUGUUGGAGUCCCACUAGGUUAAAAGGAUCCUUGAGCUCCUAAUAUGUCCUUGGGCAAUUCUUCUCUCAUGAGCUAGCUUUUGAGGUUGAGUUAGGUUCAAAGUCCAUUUCUUUAUCAAUAUUGUCUGACUUAUACAAAGCUUAUGGAAAAACGGAAGAUCUUUUAAAUUUAUUAGCUAAAAUACUCCUCAAUCAACUAUUACAUUCUUUUUUAGAUGGACUAGAAAAAGUAUUUUACAUAAAUUGAGAUAUAGCGAAUAUAAAUUAGAACGUUACUUUCUUUAAGUAAAUCUUAUUCCAUGUUAAUGCAUAUAUACUUCAUGAUACACGUAGUGGUGCUGCAUUCCUCUGAAUUAUAUAACCUCUAUGUAGUGGAAUGUUUCAAUAUACUUUUAUGUGAAAUUUAUGUUGAGCUUCACAGAAGAAUAAUAGCGUAGUGAUAAUUGGACACCAUUUAUCGAAAUCUUGGAUCCGUACUUUAUUUUCAACUUCAAUUCCACAAGUCAUCAUUGCAUUUAUUCAUGCUUCAUAUUUUGUUGUUUCCUCAUGUCAAUUUUGUUGUUUCCUCAUGUCAAUUUUGUUGUUUUUCUUCCCUUUCAUACCCUUCUUCCACUUGCUUGCCCACCACAUGUAAAUUAGAUUUUCAUUUAACUUGUUCAAUUAGAACAAUUCAAACAAAAUUUUAUUACUUAUUUUUAAUAUAAACUUAUUAUUAAUUAUAAUCAUUUACUAAUGUGUUUUUCAAUAUUAAAUUCAUUAUAUUUAAAGAGUGAUAUAAUAAAAUUAUUAUUUUAUUUAUUACAUAUUUACCAAGUUAAUACUGCACAAGUAUAAUGGAGAGAGUAAUUUCAUCGGGAUAAGAUUGGCAAUUAUUGUCACUCGUUUUGGUUGCUUUUUACUAUUUAUUGCUUCACUGUGAACAAAUAAUUAAAAUGAAGGUAUAAUUUAAAUAAAGUUUGAUGCCUGAAUAGUAGGUUAAAGCGCGUGUAUUUUGCUUGUGAUUAUUCAUUUCUCACUGUCCAUGGUUGCCCUAGUUUUCAAAUUUGUAACUUUAUUAUGUUGCUAGAUAAGGAAGUACAAAUCUAUAGUGCUAGCUAUUGGAAUACAUAAUUAGACAUUGUCAAUUUAGUACAAGCUUUUAUAGGUUAGAAAUUGCUACUUAAGAAGCAACAAAUACUUAUCUGCACUAGAGAGUUAUAUCGAACAAUAUUAAUUUGUUAUAGCUAAAAGAUUUAAUAAGGUGAGAAUAUAUAUUGGUUAAUUAUGAUUAAAUUAUAAAAAUUUAUGUGCACGCAUAUAUAAUACUAGCAAAAGUUGGCUUGAUAUAAACAUAGAGUAAGAAUAAAUUUUACAAUCUAAUUUGUGAAACUCUCUUUAUUGGAUUUACAUAGGUUGAGUUGGUUGAUUAUGAAUAUUGUUGGACUUGCAUAGCUUGAGUUGGUUGUUUUUGGUUUGAGUAUGAAUAAAGUGUUAGAAACUCUUUAUUGAUUUGAUAUAAUAUCGAGUAUGCAUAAGUUUUAUGGUCUUAUUUGUGAUACUCUUUGUUGGAUUUGGAUAGGUUGAGUUGGUUGAGGGAUCAUCCUACUUGGGACAGCCACUCCCAUUCUCCAUUACAACAUUGAUCUGGAUUGAGGUACUUGUCAUUGGAUACAUUGAAUUCCAAAGGAACGCUGAGCUUGACCCUGAAAAAAGGCUUUACCCUGGUGGAUCAUACUUCGACCCAUUGGGCCUUGCUGCUGAUCCUGAGAAAAAGGCCACACUUCAACUUGCUGAAAUCAAGCAUGCCCGUCUUGCCAUGGUUGCUUUCUUGGGCUUUGCCGUCCAAGCUGCUGCUACCGGAAAAGGUCCACUUAACAACUGGGCUACCCACUUGAGUGACCCGCUUCACACUACCAUUUUCG
rnacentral:lncRNA from 1 species